GCUACAGAGAGACAGUUGUCAAGCUCUAACCAACUGAGCUACAGAGAGACAGUUGUCGAGCUCUAACCAACUGAGCUACAGAGAAACAGUUGUCGAGCUCUAACCAACUGAGCUACAGAGUCAAGUUGUCAAGCUCUAACUGAAAAUUCAUGUGCCACUUAGGUGGUGCCAAUGUAAAGUGUAUGGGUAAAUAGGGCCGCAGGUUCGAUUCCUGUCAGAGGGUCUGGCUAUAUGUGCGUCUUGUUUUGGUAUUAGUGAGUUGAAGCGACGUUUUUGUCAACACGAACGUCACCCGAAAAUUGGUAGAACUAAUUUUGGCGCCAUUUUGCAUCAUAGCGCUCGUGUGAGAAAGCAGGAAAGUUUAAAAAUCUUUUGUCAUACAGUAUGUGUUGAAGAUUACCUCAAACUGACACAAACACAGUUUUUAAUCCAGUCCCCUCUCGGCAAUCUGACGUCCAUGUUCAUAAAAACGUGGCUUGCUUAAGCUGGCUAUUAAUUAAAGGAAAAUACGUUAAAAAUUGUAAAAAAAUCAAGCUCUUUAUAACGUACUCGGGUUUGGAUACUUCGACAUUUUUCUCCAAGUCUAAGAGUGUCUUGAAUUGGGCGUAUAGUUAGUUGCUAUGGCAUGUAAUUUUACAUAUAUAUUCACUCUUAUUAUACUAUAUAGCUAAUUCACAUUAUUAAUUAAAGAUAGCUUACAUGCAGGAGUGAGCAAAUAGUUUUAAAGAUGAAGUAGUCCCACAACUAACGUAGUGGACAUGACUCGGCGUGGCGUUGGACGAUUUGUGGUUUGCUGAAACUUGCUUUAACGAACUGUAUUGCGUACAGGGAAAAUGAGUCGUAGUUUUGUAGUUUCUUUCCCUAGCAGAGCGUAUAAAAGCCUGAGCACAACUAGACAAUUCAUGCAUUAUUCAUAAGGCGAAAACCUGAAUAGCAUCGCAGGGAAGAAAGCAAAUAAUAAAGAAAUUAUAAGUUUAUUAAGAAUCAAUUAAAAGGAAUGUUCAAAGACAAAACAAAAACGAAGUUAUUAAAGAAUUGUCAUGAAUUGAAGAAUUGUGCUCAGUCUUGUUCGGUCGUGAAAAG